rnacentral:rRNA from 1 species
ACCUUCGGGCCUCAUGCCAUCAGAUGUGCCCAGAUGGGAUUAGCUAGUAGGUGGGGUAACGGCUCACCUAGGCGACGAUCCCUAGCUGGUCUGAGAGGAUGACCAGCCACACUGGAACUGAGACACGGUCCAGACUCCUACGGGAGGCAGCAGUGGGGAAUAUUGCACAAUGGGCGCAAGCCUGAUGCAGCCAUGCCGCGUGUAUGAAGAAGGCCUUCGGGUUGUAAAGUACUUUCAGCGGGGAGGAAGGCGAUAAGGUUAAUAACCUUGUCGAUUGACGUUACCCGCAGAAGAAGCACCGGCUAACUCCGUGCCAGCAGCCGCGGUAAUACGGAGGGUGCAAGCGUUAAUCGGAAUUACUGGGCGUAAAGCGCACGCAGGCGGUCUGUCAAGUCGGAUGUGAAAUCCCCGGGCUCAACCUGGGAACUGCAUUCGAAACUGGCAGGCUAGAGU